GACGAACGCUGGCGGCGUGCUUAACACAUGCAAGUCGAACGGAAAGGCCCUGCUUUUGUGGGGUGCUCGAGUGGCGAACGGGUGAGUAACACGUGAGUAACCUGCCCUUGACUUUGGGAUAACUUCAGGAAACUGGGGCUAAUACCGGAUAGGAGCUCCUGCUGCAUGGUGGGGGUUGGAAAGUUUCGGCGGUUGGGGAUGGACUCGCGGCUUAUCAGCUUGUUGGUGGGGUAGUGGCUUACCAAGGCUUUGACGGGUAGCCGGCCUGAGAGGGUGACCGGCGACAUUGGGACUGAGAUACGGCCCAGACGCCAACGGGAGGCAGCAGUGGGGAAUAUUGCACAAUGGGAGGAAGCCUGAUGCAGCAACGCCGCGUGCGGGAUGACGGCCUUCGGGUUGUAAACCGCUUUCGCAUGUGACGAAGCGUGAGUGACGGUAAUGGGUAAAGAAGCACCGGCUAACUACGUG
rnacentral:rRNA from 1 species